CACACUCACUACAUCCCCUAUACACACUAUGCCCCUUAUACACACACACACACUCUCUACAGCCCCUAGCCACACAUAUUACACCACAAACACAAAUUAAAUUGACCUAUUUACACAAUACCAUACCACAAUCAGCUCACUCUACACACAUGCAAUCCCACAAGCAGGCUCUAAACACAUGCACCAUACGCUUUUCGGGCCUUUUUGUCC